GCAAGUCGAGCGAGAAGCUUCUUUCGGGAAGUGGGAAGCGGCAGACGGGUGCGUAACACGUGAGCAACCUGCCUUUAAGAAGGGGAUAGCCCGGUGAAAACCGGAUUAAUACCGUAUGUGGUUUCUGAACGCAUGUUCAGGAUACUAAAGCUUGUAAUGGCGCUUAAAGAGGGGCUCGCGGCCUAUCAGCUUGUUGGUGAGGUAGAAGCUCACCAAGGCUAAGACGGGUAGCUGAUCUGAGAGGAUGAUC
rnacentral:rRNA from 1 species